UGGCCCACGUAGGCAAAGGUUUAGAAGAGAGUUAUGGGAUAGAGUACACGGAGUAGACUACUUACGUACAAUUUGCUAAUCGGUGAUGCGCUUAGAUAUGGGAAUACUUUACUGGACUGUCGGGUACGAUAAAGGUUGUCAAUGUGACUCCCGGGAAGAAAUCGCCGGAUCAAGAGGUGGAUUCAAACACUGAUAGUUGACGGAAAUGCCGGCGGUGGAAAUUGCAAGUCGUGGUAUCUCGACCUUGUCACAAAUUAUUGGGUAGUUCACACAUUAAUAAAGCCUGCGUUUACCCAGGCUAUUGCUUCCAAUGGAA